rnacentral:rRNA from 1 species
GAGUUUGAUCUUGGCUCAGGAUGAACGCUGGCGGCGUGCCUAAUACAUGCAAGUCGAGCGAACGGACGAGAAGCUUGCUUCUCUGAUGUUAGCGGCGGACGGGUGAGUAACACGUGGAUAACCUACCUAUAAGACUGGGAUAAACUUCGGGAAACCGGAGCUAAUACCGGAUGAUAUUUUGAACCGCAUGGUUCAAAAGUGAAAGACGGUCUUGCUGUCACUUAUAGAUGGAUCCGCGCUGCAUUAGCUAGUUGGUAGGUAACGGCUUACCAAGGCAACGAUGCAUAGCCGACCUGAGAGGGUGAUCGGCCACACUGGAACUGAGACACGGUCCAGACUCCUACGGGAGGCAGCAGUAGGGAAUCUUCCGCAAUGGGCGAAAGCCUGACGGAGCAACGCCGCGUGAGUGAUGAAGGUCUUCGGAUCGUAAAACUCUGUUAUUAGGGAAGAACAUAUGUGUAAGUAACUGUGCACAUCUUGACGGUACCUAAU